rnacentral:rRNA from 1 species
UCUCAGUUCGGAUUGAAGUCUNCNACUCGACUUNAUGAAGUUGGAAUCGCUAGUAAUCGCAAAUCANCAUGUUGCGGUGAAAACGUUCCCGGGUCUUGUACACACCGCCCGUCACAUCACGAAAGUAGGUUGUACUAGAAGUACCUGGGCCNACUCGCAAGAGAGGCAGGUUACCACGGUAUGAUUUAUGAUUGGGGUGAAGUCGUAACAAGUAACC